rnacentral:rRNA from 1 species
GACGAACGCUGGCGGCGUGCUUAACACAUGCAAGUCGAACGGAAAGGCCCUGCUUUCGUGGGGUGCCCGAGUGGCGAACGGGUGAGUAACACGUGAGUAACCUGCCCUUGACGUUGGGAUAACUUCAGGAAACUGGUGCUAAUACCGGAUAGGAGCUCCUGCUGCAUGGUGGGGGUUGGAAAGUUUCGGUGGUAGGGGAUAGACUGGCGGGUUACCAGCUUGUUGGUGGGGUAGUGGCCUACCAAGGCAUUGACGGAUAGCCGGCCUGGGAGGGUGACCGGCCACAAUGGGACUGAGAGACGGCCCAGACUCGUACGGGAGGCAGCAGUGGGGAGUAUUGCACAGUGAGCGGGAGCCUGAUGCAGCAGCGCCGCGUGCGGAAUGACGGCCUUCGGGUUGUAAACCGCUUUCGCCUGUGACGAAGCGUGAGUGACGGUAAUGGGUGAAGAAGCACCGGCUAACUACGUG